UGAGGCACGAAAAGUGUGGGUAGCAAACAGGAUUAGAUAACCCUGGUAGUCCAACGCCGUAAACGAUGGAUACUAGGUGUAGGGGGUAUCAACUCCCUCUGUGCCGCAGUUAACACAAUAAGUAUCCCGCCUGGGGAGUACGGUCGCAAGAUUAAAACUCAAAGGAAUUGACGGGGGCCCGCACAAGCAGCGGAGCAUGUGGUUUAAUUCGAAGCAACGCGAAGAACCUUACCUGGACUUGACAUCCCUUGCAUAGCCUAGAGAUAGGUGAAGCCCUUCGGGGCAAGGAAACAGGUGGUGCAUGGUUGUCGUCAGCUCGUGUCGUGAGAUGUUAGGUUAAGUCCUGCAACGAGCGCAACCCUUGUUAUUAGUUGCUACCAUUAAGUUGAGCACUCUAAUGAGACUGCCUGGGUAACCAGGAGGAAGGUGGGGAUGACGUCAAAUCAUCAUGCCCCUUAUGUCCAGGGCUACACACGUGCUACAAUGGUAGGUACAAUAAGAGGCAAGACCGUGAGGUGGAGCAAAACUUAUAAAGCCUAUCUCAGUUCGGAUUGUAGGCUGCAACUCGCCUACAUGAAGCUGGAGUUGCUAGUAAUCGCGAAUCAGAAUGUCGCGGUGAAUACGUUCCCGGGCCUUGUACACACCGCCCGUCACACCAUGAGAGCUGGUAACACCCGAAGUCCGUGAGGCAACCGUAAGGAGCCAGCGGCCGAAGGUGGGAUUAGUGAUUGGGGUGAAGUCGUAACAAGGUAGCCGUAGGAGAACCUGCGGCUGGAUCACCUCCUUAAUCG
rnacentral:rRNA from 1 species